GAUUUUAGGAGAGAAUAUGAGAAUUUGAAUAUGAGGGGAGUGUGUGUCGUGUGGGGAGGAAUUGAGGUAUAGAAAAUUCAGCUAGGGGGCUGCUAGUGUCGAAUAGGUCAUUAGGAAACUGGGGCUUUCGGUUUUGAAGUGUGUUUUUCCUUAGUUUCAGUUGGGAAUUUUUGUCAGUUUCGAUAUACCUAUUCGUGUUUGGUACGUUUUUGCCAAGUUUUCGAGUAUGUUUUCUGCUCUCUUUUGUUUUUAC
rnacentral:lncRNA from 1 species